AUAUGGGUAGGGGAGCAUUGCCUGCGGGGCGAAUGGACAGCGUGAGCUAUCCUGGACUGCAGGGAAAAGCAAAUGUAGGCAUGAGUAACGAUAAUUACGCUGAGAAAGCGUAACGCCGAAAGACCCAGGUUUCCCCCGCCAUGUUAAUCAACGGGGGGUAAGGCGGGCCCUAACGGAGUUCCGAAAGGAUGAUCCGGAUGGACAGCUGGUGAAGAUUCCAGCCCUUCCUGCAUGAGCCACAUACUGACGCAUAUAACAGAUCUGCAGGUACUGACGGAAUAGUGCCUUAGAGCGGAUCCUUCGGGAGAAGCGAGCAGACGCGUGUUGUGCCAAGAAAAGGUAUAGAAGCAAUUGUGCAGGGACCCGUACCGCAAACCGACACAGGUGGUUGAGAUGAAUAAUCUAAGGCGCUCGGGAGAGCCACGGCCAAGGAACUCGGCAAAUUGACCCUGUAACUUCGGGAGAAGGGGGGCCGCAGCGAUGCGGCCGCAGAGAAAAGGCCCAGGCGACUGUUUAGCAAAAACACAGGGCUAUGCCAAAUCGCAAGAUGACGUAUAUGGCCUGACACCUGCCCGGUGCCGGAAGGUUAAGAGGGGAUGUCAGUCGCAAGAUGAAGCAUUGAAUCGAAGCCCCGGUAAACGGCGGCCGUAACUAUAACGGUCCUAAGGUAGCGAAAUUCCUUGUCGGGUAAGUUCCGACCUGCACGAAUGGUGUAACGAUCUGGGCACUGUCUCGGCCGUGGUCCCGGUGAAAUUGUAGUAACGGUGAAGAUGCCGUUUACCCGCCACGGGACGGAAAGACCCCGUGCACCUUCACUGCAGUUUUGCAUUGGUGACGGGUCACAGGUGUGUAGGAUAGGUGGGAGGCUAUGAAAUGGUGUCGCCAGGCAUCAUGGAGCCAACGUUGAAAUACCACCCUCCUGUGUCCUUUCGCCUAACCCCAGAUAAUUGGGGGACCGUGCAUGACGGGCGGUUUGACUGGGGUGGUCGCCUCCCAAAGUGUAACGGAGGCUUCCAAAGGUCGGUUCGGCACGCUUGGUAACCGUGCCGCGAGCGCAAUAGCACAAGCCGGCUUGACUGUGCGACCGACGGGUCGAACAGGUGGGAAACCAGGGUAUAGUGAUCCGGUAUUCCCUCAUGGACGGGAUAUCGCUCAAAGGAUAAAAGGUACGCCGGGGAUAACAGGCUGAUCUCCCCCAAGAGCUCACAUCGACGGGG
rnacentral:ncRNA from 1 species